UUGGUGGGGUAAUGGCCUACCAAGGCGACGACGGGUAGCCGGCCUGAGAGGGCGACCGGCCACACUGGGACUGAGACACGGCCCAGACUCCUACGGGAGGCAGCAGUGGGGAAUAUUGCACAAUGGGCGAAAGCCUGAUGCAGCGACGCCGCGUGAGGGAUGACGGCCUUCGGGUUGUAAACCUCUUUCAGCAGGGAAGAAGCGCAAGUGACGGUACCUGCAGAAGAAGCACCGGCUAACUACGUGCCAGCAGCCGCGGUAAUACGUAGGGUGCGAGCGUUGUCCGGAAUUAUUGGGCGUAAAGAGCUCGUAGGCGGCUUGUCGCGUCGGAUGUGAAAGCCCGGGGCUUAACCCCGGGUCUGCAUUCGAUACGGGCAGGCUAGAGUUCGGUAGGGGAGAUCGGAAUUCCUGGUGUAGCGGUGAAAUGCGCAGAUAUCAGGAGGAACACCGGUGGCGAAGGCGGAUCUCUGGGCCGAUACUGACGCUGAGGAGCGAAAGCGUGGGGAGCGAACAGGAUUAGAUACCCUGGUAGUCCACGCCGUAAACGUUGGGAACUAGGUGUGGGCGACAUUCCACGUUGUCCGUGCCGCAGCUAACGCAUUAAGUUCC
rnacentral:rRNA from 1 species